CAACAUGUUAUAACGAACGAUAACGGUUUACAGCACAAAAUUCUUAACCCCCAUCAAACGAACUGCACAACUGUACACCUGAAUCAACCAUUGUUUUGUCUUCUUUCUCAGGUGGUUCAACAAGCUCUGGAUAAAGCUAGUAUUGGACGAACUACUCUUGUUAUCGCUCACAGAUUAUCUACCAUCCAAUACGCUGAUGCCAUUUGUGUGAUCCGUAAAGGAAGAGUGGUUGAACGUGGUACACAUCAACAACUUUUAGCAAUGAAGGGAAUUUACUAUGCUCUGCAUAAAGCUCAAUCUAUGAAAAACCACUAAAGAUAAGUAAAAAUGACUUGGAUGAUAAUUUCCUUUUAUUUUUGCAAAAUCACCCUGAUGUUAACUGGAUAAGAAGUUUAUGCUUUCAUUGAAAACAUUUUUUCAUCGUGAUAUGAAAUAUUCCGAAGUGAAACAGUUUUUAUUCGUGAUAUGAAAUAUCUCGAACUGGAUUAUAGUGACUGGAAUUAUUCUCAAUUGAACUUUACCGUAGGUAAAUAUUUAACAGGACUGUGACGUAUAAUAGGUUUGGUCUCAAAGACCUUUGUGAUUAUAUUAGUAUUGUCAGCUAGGAUGAUUAUAUAGCUCAGUGUCAUUAAAUGAAUUGUAUUAACUUCAUAAGCAUUUAUUAAAAAUAUUACAAAAUUCUCAAUCGUAA